UACGUAGGGAGCAAGCGUUGUCCGGAAUCAUUGGGCGUAAAGCGCGCGUAGGUGGCCCUGUAAGUCCGUUGUGAAAGUCAAAGGCUCAACCUUUGAAAGCCGAUGGAUACUGCAGGGCUAGAGUACGGAAGAGGCGAGUGGAAUUCCUGGUGUAGCGGUGGAAUGCGCAGAUAUCAGGAGGAACACCCGUGGUGUAGACGGCUUGCUGGACAGUCACUGACGCUGAGGCACGAAAGCGUGGGGAGCAAACAGG
rnacentral:rRNA from 1 species